ACAGUGCAGCUCCCUUAAGGUGAACACUUCAUCCCUGAAUGCAGCCCUCUAAAAUAAUCGACAGGAGAUUCAGUUUACAAAGGCAAGCAUGGACUUGGCUUUGAACCUCUCUGGGAAUCUUCUCCAAUACUGAAAUAUUUUCCUCCAUCCCACCCACUGCCUCAAAACCUGAUUUUAUUUCGCUGGAAGAAAAUGAGAAGUAGAAUGCAGAUGGGAUGGUGAAGAUUCAUACCCUCUUGGUCUUCAAAGUUUGUGCCUGUAGAUUGCUUAGCUAAACUUCCAGCCUUUACAAGAAUGUUUAAACUAGAAGUUUCUCAGUA